AAUACGGAGCUCACAUCAGCCAAUCAGAGGAACAGUUGGACACGACGUGAUCCUGCCGUGCUACGUGGAGCCCCCCUUUAAUGUGACACGUCGAACAGUGGAUUGGAAAUUCGGUUCAAAAUUCGUGUACGUUUACCGACACAACGGGCACGAUCCCGAUCAUCAGCACGCGGACUUCAAAAACAGGACGUAUGUCGAUGAAGAUGAAAUGAGCAAAGGAAACCUUUCACUGAGAAUCUUCCCACUGAAAAAAACAGAUGCAGGCAACUACACGUGCAGCGUUCCCGAACAGAGCGGCAAGGUCAUGAAAGUUAACACUGAGCUUAUCGUAGCAGAGGACAAAAUGCCAAACAAGACAGUUUCUUCCAGUCUUGGCAUUGGCACUGGCAUUGGCAUGGUCUCUCUCAUCAUGAUCAUGGUGAUUAUAUGGAAUUCAUAAAUGUAA